rnacentral:misc_RNA from 1 species
AUUCAAUAUUAGCAGACGAGACCGCGCGUGGUCGAUACCAAAACGACAAGAUGAUUCUAAGUAGUGUCAACUUUGUUAAGACCAGCAGCCGACAACCAAAGUCACAUUUUGACUUCAGUGAUUUUAUUAUUGGGAAAAUUAAGGAAGAACAAGAAUUCAACGAUAGGUGCAACAAAUGUGGAUCCCCAUCAGAGCAUACAAAGAAAACAGACAGUAACAAAUCGCCAGCACGAUCAAGCUAUAGCGAGAGCGUAAGGAGGCGGAGUUCAGCACAAAAGGACAACUGUUCUAAUGUGACCGUGGAAACCAAGGACGGCUACGUCGUCAGUCUGUGCGAGGAACUCGACCGCAUUUAUCUUGGUGACGUCGAGGACCCCAAUAAUUCAAAUAUAUUCCGCCAGACUAAACACACACUCCAGGACGGAGAGACCAGCCAGGAAUUCUGCUCAUUUCGUCUCCACAGUCAGAAGGACCUAUAUCUGUCCGUGACCCCGGACCGACAACUCGCUGUCCAACGGUCCGGAAGUUGGAAAUUAACUGGAGACCCCCGGAAGAAUACUUCUUCAGCGUCGGGAUCGUGGAUGUGCCGGACCCCGAUGUUUUCGUCGCCCCAGAGGACGCCCCUGUCCAGAAAUCCACGCCCUUCAUAGAGGAGUCCUCCCCCGUCAAGCCUAGCCUAUUCUGGGGGUGUUUCGGCGGAAAGUCUAAGAAGCUCUCCUCCAAAAUCAAGAAAACAAUCAAACAGAACUCUCGCGUCUAAAAAUCAACGAAAAAAAAAUGAACGGCGCUUAGUGAUAUACGCAACCUUCCAGGUGCUACUACAUAGAAUCAUUCCGAAUUAGCAAUUGACAACCAUGGACCAAGAUUUACACUGGCCCUAAUCAAAUAGUAAAGAAUCGACGAUGUCGGGUCUUAACAGACCCCCCCCCCCCCUUUUUUUUUACCCGUCCUCCUUCCCCUGACACAGUCGAUCGCCAGCGAUGACCUAUGACCCCCGUGGCUUGUUAGCCACGGCUGAAAGUAGGUGGUGGUACUAAUUUCGUGUGUGAUACCAUGACUGGCAUUAUUUACUAUGCUCAAAAAAGGCCUUUGUACUAACUUGUAUAAUCCUUCCUCUCUAUCAUUUGACAAUCCGCCGGCAGUUCGGUGCAUUCUGUGUGUGAUGUGAAACUUCAGCCUCUUUUUUUGACUACUCAGUCUCUCAUAAACUAACUUUUCCUCUGAAAUCCAUUAAGAGGGAUAUGGUUUUGUUUAUUUAAAAAAAAAAGCUGGGUUUAAUUUCCAUUUCUAGUCAUCGCUUGUGAGACAGUGCAAUAUAUGUAUUUAUUAUUUUAUUUAUUUAUUGUGAGUGUAUCUGUAGUAUAAGUAUGUUUUCAUCUUGGAAUGAAGACAUAUUUUAACUCUUUAAAAAAUGAGAAAAAAAAUGUAUAAAAAUAGAAACACUACACGUAGCAGGACAUUGCUAAGUGUAAAGAGUUGCUCGGGUCAGUUUUUGGCCAAGUGUGAAUUUGAUAUUUGAAGACAUUCUGUACAUAUCUGUAAGUCUGUCAAAACAACAGACUAUGCGAGAUAUUUUUUUAUUUAUUCAGUUUGAAGUUUUAAUGGAAUGGGCGACUUUCUGUUUUGGAAGACUUCCCAUUUCUUUCUACCACCGAUAUUUGAUUUUGAGGUCUCCGCACGAGUUUGAUAUUUGUUUUGUUUUCUUUAAGUAAGAAAAUGUAUUUUAUUUUAUCAGUUGAGAAAAACUAUUUCAAUAAAAUUUAAAA